rnacentral:rRNA from 1 species
CAAGCUUAGUUUGAUCCUGGCUCAGAACGAACGCUGGCGGCGUGCCUAACACAUGCAAGUCGAACGUGAUCCAUCCUUCGGGGUGGUGAAAGUGGCGCACGGGUGAGUAACGCGUGGAUAAUCUGCCCGAGGAUUUGGGAUAACAUCUCGAAAGGGGUGCUAAUACCGAAUAAGCCCACGGGGUCUACGGAUCUUGCGGGAAAAGGGGGGGACUUUCGGGCCUCCUGUCUUCGGAUGAGUCCGCGUACCAUUAGCUAGUUGGUAGGGUAAUGGCCUACCAAGGCGACGAUGGUUAGCUGGUCUGAGAGGAUGAUCAGCCACACUGGAACUGAGACACGGUCCAGACUCCUACGGGAGGCAGCAGUGGGGAAUUUUGCGCAAUGGGGGAAACCCUGACGCAGCAACGCCGCGUGGGUGAUGAAGGCCUUCGGGUCGUAAAGCCCUAUCGGGAGGGAAGAAAUGAUUGAGAGCUAAUACCUCUUGGUCUUGACGGUACCUCCGAAGGAAGCACCGGCUAACUCCGUGCCAGCAGCCGCGGUAAUACGGAGGGUGCAAGCGUUGUUCGGAAUUAUUGGGCGUAAAGCGCGUGUAGGCGGUCUUUUAAGUCUGAUGUGAAAGCCCCGGGCUCAACCUGGGAAGUGCAUUGGAAACUGGGAGACUUGAGUACGGGAGAGGAGAGUGGAAUUCCUAGUGUAGGAGUGAAAUCCGUAGAUAUUAGGAGGAACACCGGUGGCGAAGGCGGCUCUCUGGACCGAUACUAC